GACGAACGCUGGCGGCGUGCCUAAUACAUGCAAGUCGAGCGAACCAAAAGGUGCUUGCACCUUUUGGUUAGCGGCGGACGGGUGAGUAACACGUGGGCAACCUGCCUGUAAGACUGGGAUAACUUCGGGAAACCGGAGCUAAUACCGGAUAAUCCUUUUCCUCUCAUGAGGAUAAGCUGAAAGUCGGUUUACGCUGACACUUACAGAUGGGCCCGCGGCGCAUUAGCUAGUUGGUGAGGUAACGGCUCACCAAGGCGACGAUGCGUAGCCGACCUGAGAGGGUGAUCGGCCACACUGGGACUGAGACACGGCCCAGACUCCUACGGGAGGCAGCAGUAGGGAAUCUUCCGCAAUGGACGAAAGUCUGACGGAGCAACGCCGCGUGAGCGAUGAAGGCCUUCGGGUCGUAAAGCUCUGUUGUUAGGGAAGAACAAGUAUCGGAGUAACUGCCGGUACCUUGACGGUACCUAACCAGAAAGCCACGGCUAACUACGUGCCAGCCGCCGCGGUAACAC
rnacentral:rRNA from 1 species